CAUGCAAGUCGAACGCUCUUUUUAAGAGAGUGGCGGACGGGUGAGUAACGCGUGGGAACAUGCCCUGUAGUGGGGAAUAACAGUUGGAAACGACUGCUAAUACCGCAUACGCCCUUUGGGGGAAAGAUUUAUCGCUAUAGGAUUGGCCCGCGUCGGAUUAGUUUGUUGGUGUGGUAAAAGCGCACCAAGGCAAUGAUCCGUAGCUGGUUUGAGAGGACGAUCAGCCACACUGGGACUGAGACACUGCCCAGACUCCUACGGGAGGCUGCAGUCAGGAAUCUUGCACAAUGGGGGAAACCCUGAUCCAGCCAUGCCGCGUGAGUGAAGAAGGCCUUCGGGUUGUAAAGCUCUUUCAUAUGUGAAGAUGAUGACGGUAGCAUCAGAAGAAGCACCGGCUAACUUCGUGCCAGCAGCCGCGGUGAUACGAAGGGUGCAAGCGUUGUUCGGAAUUACUGGGCUUAAAGCGCAUGUAGGCGGUUUGUCAAGUCAGAGGUGAAAGCCUGGAGCUUAACUUCAGAAUUGCCUUUGAAACUGAUAAACUAGAGUUAGGUAGAGAGUAGCGGAAUUCUCGGUGUAGGGGUGAAAUCCGUAGAUAUCGAGAGGAACACCAGUUGCGAAAGCGGCUACUUGGACCUUUUCUGACGCUGAGAUGCGAAAGCGUGGGUAGCAAACAGGAUUAGAUACCCUGGUAGUCCACGCCGUAAACGAUGAGUGCUAGAUGUUGGGAAGUUUCUUUUCAGUGUCACAGCAAAAGCGUUAAGCACUCCGCCUGGGGACUACGGCCGCAAGGUUAAAACUUAAAGGAAUUGACGGGGACCCGCACAAGCGGUGGAGCAUGUUGUUUAAUUCGAUGAUACGCGAAGAACCUUACCCUCUCUUGACAUCCUGGUCGCGAUUUUGAGAGAUCAUUAUUUUCAGUUCGGCUGGACCAGUGACAGAUGCUGCAUGGUUGUCGUCAGCUCGUGUCGUGAGAUGUUGGGUUAAGUCCCGCAACGAGCGCAACCCUCACUGUUAGUUGCCAACAGGUUAUGCUGGGAACUCUAACAGAACUGCCGGUGAUAAGCCGGAGGAAGGUGGGGAUGACGUCAAAUCAUCAUGGUUCUUACGGGAGGGGCUACAAACGUGCUACAAUGGCAGGUACAGAAAGUUUUGCAAGCUUGCAAAAGUUAGCUAAUCUUUUAAACUCUGUCUAAGUUCAGAUUGUCCUCUGCAACUCGGGGGCAUGAAGUUGAAAUCGCUAGUAAUCGCAGAUCAGAAUGCUGCGGUGAAUACGUUCUCGGGUCUUGUACACACCGCCCGUCAUCUCAUGGAAGCUGAUCUUACCCAAAGCCGGUG
rnacentral:rRNA from 1 species